GGGGAUGAUCGGUUUCGACAUUGCCUGCAAAACUGCGAGAAGCGGGUCGAGGACGCACGGUUAUCUCGUAAACGAUCCGUGCAAACAAUAAGUGCCAAUUCCAACAGCACUGUCUCUGCCAAGGCUGACUUCGCCCUCGCGGCGUAGUCCCCUUCGCAACUAACGAGACCGUCAGCCCGGGGGUGCCUCCGACCCGGUUCCUGACGUCAUCUAGGAGGAUUGCUGCGUUCCUGAGCCUCAGGGGACCGCGGGACUUCAACUGAGACUGGGCUCGUUGACCUAGCUGUUCGUGGCAAAGGUCAGAGCCGAGUAGAACGCUUUCACGAACUACGCCCGUAGAAGGCGCGGAAUUACAGCAGUGGACCGGGGUUCAAUUCCCCGCAUCUCCACCA
rnacentral:tmRNA from 3 species